rnacentral:lncRNA from 1 species
UGUCUGUGAACACCCCCUUUUUUACGGCAAAUCAUUAGACAAUGUCAUGCGAUAUUUAUGACAGCUGAGCAAGAAUAUUUCAUCGAACUAAAAUUUGAAAUGAUGACAAAAUAGCAUAAAAAACAUUUUGUUAGAAUGGUGAAAUGUAUAUUUAUUUUGCAUUUUUUUUUCUGUCUUGAAAGAUAUUUUUUUUUCUUUUUUUUCCCGACCGACCGACCCGACUUUUUCAUGGGGAAAAUCCGUAAACCAACAAAUUAAAAAACCGUGGCCUUACAAUUG